UAAUUAUUGUAAUCUCAAGUCUCUUAAAUUUCCCUCUUUAUAGAAGCACUUAAGGAUUGUGCUCUUUGUAAAUGCCUACUCUUUUAUUGCAGGUUGAGGGUGAGAUGGACAAGAUUGCAAUGGAAGAAGCUGGCUUUCGUAAUUGUGUCAGUGUCCCCGACGGUGCUCCUGCAUCAGUUUCCAAAAAAGAGUUGCCACCCGAGGAUCAGGACACAAGGUAUAAAUAUCUUUGGAACUGCAAAGAAUUCUUUGAAAAGGCAUCUCGUAUAAUACUUGCAACUGAUGGGGAUCCACCUGGCUAGGCUCUAGCCGAAGAACUUGCCCGCCGUUUAGGGAGAGAAAGGUGCUGGCGAGUGAAAUGGCGUAAGAAGAUUAAUGGGCAUUGCAAAGAUGCAAAUGAGGCAAGCAUGUUCAUUUUGAAAUUUUAUUUCAUGUGGGUUUAUCCACAGGAAUUCAUAAACCUAAUGAUUAUAAUUUUCUAAAUGAUAAUAUUUUCCCAUUCACGAGUCCUCAUCUAGAAUGUUUUACUAGUUGAUAUUAUUACUUUGUUACUCUGUUUUGAUGUGGUUGUAUAUAUAUAUCUUUGAUCAGAAAUGGAGAUUGUAUUUAUAAAUGGGAAAGAAAUUACAUUAGAGGAUCAGAGCUUCUGAGUCCUGUAAAAUCUAUUAAACUUAGUUGUUACUGUUCAAUCUGCGUAAUUCUUGCACUU